GGAGAGGUAGCGAAGUGGUCAAACGCAUCUGACUGUAAAUCAGACGGCUUACGCCUUCGAAGGUUCAAAUCCUUCCCUCUCCACCA
rnacentral:tRNA from 2 species